AGUGAACGCUGGCGGUAGGCCUAACACAUGCAAGUCGAACGGCAGCACAGUAAGAGCUUGCUCUUACGGGUGGCGAGUGGCGGACGGGUGAGGAAUACAUCGGAAUCUACUUUUUCGUGGGGGAUAACGUAGGGAAACUUACGCUAAUACCGCAUACGACCUACGGGUGAAAGCAGGGGAUCUUCGGACCUUGCGCGAUUGAAUGAGCCGAUGUCGGAUUAGCUAGUUGGCGGGGUAAAGGCCCACCAAGGCGACGAUCCGUAGCUGGUCUGAGAGGAUGAUAAGCCACACUGGAACUGAGAAACGGUCCAGACUACUACGGGAGGCAGCAGUGGGGAAUAUUAGACAAUGGGCGCAAGCCUGAUCCAGCCAUACCGCGUGGGUGAAGAAGGCCUUCGGGUUGUAAAGCCCUUUUGCUGGGAAAGAAAAGCAGAAGGUUAAUACCCCGCUGUUCUGACGGUACCCAAAGAAUAAGCACCGGCUAACUUCGUG
rnacentral:rRNA from 1 species